AACGAACGCUGGCGGCAGGCCUAACACAUGCAAGUCGAACGGACAUCUUCGGAUUUUAGCGGCAGACGGGUGAGUAACGUGUGGAAACGUGCCCUGUUCUGCGGUAUAUCCUGGGGAAAUUUGUUGUAAUAGCGGGUGUACUCUGUGGGGGAAAGUUUUAUCGGCAAAGAAGCGGCGCGCGUGGUUUGCGGGUGUUGUUGGGGUAAUGGCCUACCAAGCCGACGAUCCAUAGCUGGUUUGAGAGGAUGAUCAGCCACACUGGGACUGAGACACGGCCCAGACUCCUACGGGAGGCAGCAGUGGGGAAUCUUAGACAAUGGGGGAAAGCCUGACCUAGCCAUGCCGCGUGAGUGAUGAAGGCCUUAGGGUUGUAAAGCUCUUUCACCGGGGACGAUAAUGACGGUACCCGGAGAAGAAGCCCCGGCUAACUCCGUG
rnacentral:rRNA from 1 species